CCUACGGGUGGCAGCAGUGGGGAAUAUUGCACAAUGGGGGAAACCCUGAUGCAGCGACGCCGCGUGAGUGAUGACGUCCCUCGUUAUGUAAAGCUUCAUUUGUAGGGAAGUAACAGAUGCUACGUGAGUAAUUAGCUACGGCUAACUACGUGCCAGCAGCCGCGGUAACACGGAGGGGGCCAGCGUUAUCCGGAUUUACUGGGUGUAAAGGGAGCGUAGUGGGAGAAGAAAGUCUGAAGUGAAAGAGCGCGGCUUAACCGCAGAACUGCAUUUGAAACUGUUUGUCUGGAGUACCGGAGAGGUAAGCGGAAUUCGUGGUGUAGCGGUGAAAUGCGUAGAUAUUACGAAGAACACCGAUGGCGAAGGCAGCUUACUGGACGGUAACUGACGUUGAGGCUCGAAAGCGUGGGGAGCAAACAGGAUUAGAUACCCCAGUAGUC
rnacentral:rRNA from 1 species